rnacentral:rRNA from 1 species
AACGAACGCUGGCGGCAUGCCUAACACAUGCAAGUCGAACGAGACCUUCGGGUCUAGUGGCGCACGGGUGCGUAACGCGUGGGAACCUGCCCUUAGGUUCGGAAUAACUCCCCGAAAGGGGUGCUAAUACCGGAUAAUGUCUUCGGACCAAAGAUUUAUCGCCUUUGGAUGGGCCCGCGUUGGAUUAGCUAGUUGGUAGGGUAAAAGCCUACCAAGGCGACGAUCCAUAGCUGGUCUGAGAGGAGGAUCAGCCACACUGGGACUGAGACACGGCCCAGACUCCUACGGGAGGCAGGAGGGGGGAAUAUUGGACAAUGGGCGAAAGCCUGAUACAGCAAUGACGCGUGAGUGAUGAAGGCCUUAGGGUUGUAAAGCUCUUUUACCCGGGAUGAUAAUGACAGUACCGGGAGAAUAAGCUCCGGCUAACUCCGUG